UUUUUUAGGUGCUAGAAAAGAAUACUGGUGUUACCACAUGAAGGUGUUAAAAGAAUUGUUGCAAUGUGAAGAUAAGUAUUUGACAAUACGAAAAUGGUGCGAGCUAAAGUGUAAUCCUUCCAAAAAAAAUGAAAAUAGCACAGAUAUAUCAGAAUAAAAAUUAGUUUUAUUUUAAUGCUAUUUAUAACUUUCAUUAUAUGAUAUAAAAAUACAUGAAUUCUGUUAUAUAUAGUAUGCUCUAGUAUAAAUCGUCAAUAAUACGUCA